GGGUGGAUGGAUGGUUAAAUUGGAGAGGAGAGGAGGACAUGAAAUAAAUAGGCCAACUUUCUCCAGGCUUUUCGACUUCUCAGAAAUCAGAGGAAAUUUUAUAGCUUCAGCCUUUCUUCUCUUUUCGCAUGCAUUAUCCACCCGGGUAGUAGGGAAGCAGAGUCCCGGGUUUUAAUCAUUUUAUCAUCAUCUUCCUCGUCUUGUGCACCUACUCACCUGUGAGCUGCUGCGGGCUUGACUGAGAGAGUGGGUUGAAGCAUUCGAGUCUGUGGAUUGUGCCGACCCUGGGUGUUUUUUAAGAGCUGUGUGGUAGUAGUCGUCGUCGUAGUAGUGGAUUUGGUUGUAUUUGGAUUGGAGUUGGUAUUUUAGCAGAGAGAAACCAAGCUACAGCCAGACAUCACAUGAGGGACAAACAGUUUGGUUCAGAGAAAGUUGUCUGCGACACGAUCACACCAAGCCCCCUCCCCUCAAAUGGGAGACUUGUCGUUUUUCGCCACACUGCCGCCCCCACCACAGUGACCACCAUGGACCUUGGUUAACUAACUAUAGUUAAAAACAUCCAACAAAUUAAAGAUUCAACGUCUCUCUCUCUCUCUGCUCUGCUGGUGGGCGGAGUGCAACUUACAAAACUCUCUCCACCGCACAGACCGCGUCAGAAACUUGACACCACUCAUUAUUCGAUAGUUAGUUAGUGAAAUUCGACUAUUAUUCUUUUCUGUAAAUACAUCAAGGAAUAUAUAUUUACUCGACGGCUACGGUGGCGGAGGAAUGAAAGAUGACGCCGGCGGUCAAAGUCAUAACGCUAUUAACUUUACGUCUAAAAAAUCAAGAAUUCUAAGUGAACUGGAGAGGUCAAGUGCUAGAUAUUACGUGAUUAGGAGUGGGAUUGUGUUUCGAAAAGACUGGCUAAUGUAACAAUAUUAACAAAAUAUUGGAAACCUGCACAAAAGUAAUACGAGUAUAAAUAUUAAGGUAGAAAAGAAAAGGGGUUGUGGUGUGGCUUUAAUUUAUUAUUCUUCAUGGAUUGACUCCUUCGCACAUUCGACGACAUGCUGCUGCUCUUUCAUCGGCCUACUACUACUCAUCAUCAAGUGAGAAGAAGUUAACAACUACAACAACAAAAUAUCAUUAACCACAACGAUACUUAUAGGAUAAGAGAAAAACAGAACUAAUACUAAAUCACACAAACAGAAACCUCGACGCACAUCCCGUACUGCCGUACAUAGCAGGGACAAAAAAUAACUCUUCAAGAAUGGAAUGUGUUAUGCAGUUGCGUAACAUUCAGAAUGUGAUAAGACUGACGAAAGAGAAUAUCGAUGCCCUUAAUGACAGAUUUGCCGGGUUCCAAGACCCUCCUUCUAUGUAUCUCCAGGAGUAUUCCGAGUUGACAACAAAGCUUCAUGAUUUGGAGAAGAAGGAGCAGGAUCUCCGGGAGCAGAUGGGGGUGGGAGGAGGAGGAGGUGGAAAUGAGAGCACAAAUCAUCCUGCACCAAUCGGACCAACAACUUCCUUCUCCAAUCGGAACAAUGAACAGGACAACAAUUUUAUCGCACAGUCGUUACAGUCAGGGGGAGAGGAAGGAUUGUCGCCUAGAUCUCCAUUCAAGUCCGUCAUCCGAGCGUACUUACCUAAUCAACAGAGAACGUCGGUUCAGAUUCGUCCUGGCCAGACUGUGAGGGAUGCUUUGUCGAAAGCUAUGAAGCUCAGGAAGUUAACUCCAGAAAUGUGUGCAGUGUAUAGAAUAUCGAAUCCUGCUGUUCAAAUACCGUGGGAGUCGGAUAUUUCAAAGUUAGAGGGGGAUGAAGUCAAGGUUGAAAUUUUGGACAAGUUUCCCAUUGCUACAAGUAUCUCGCACAAUUUUGUCCGGAAAACGUUCUUCUCAUUAGCUUACUGUGAAUGCUGUCGUAGAUUAUUAUUUCAAGGAUUUCAAUGUAGAACUUGCGGAUAUCGGUUUCAUCAGAGGUGUGCUGCAACUGUGCCAGCUCUCUGUGAAUCAAGCAGAAUGGAAAGAACGUACUAUGAAAUUUUACUGGCCCAAAGUACUGAUACAUCCUAUUUUGACCAUGCUCGCGAAACUUCGCCCCCCAACCUGGCUGAACAAUACGUGGACAAAGAUCCUCCCCCACUAGGACAUCGAGAACGCUCAACAUCUGCUCCGAAUGUUUGCUAUAAUCUCGUCGGACAUUCUGCUGAAAUAUCGGACGAUCUUCUCCACCGGCUCGGAAAAGGCACCUACACAACACUGCAUGAAUGGUUUCCCUUUGUAAAUGGGAGAACAAAGAGUGUAAGACCUCCCUCAAUAGGAUAUGUUUCGAGGGUCAAACACGGAACAUUUUCAUUGGCCAUGCCACUCUCCAAUCUUGCGAUGAACGUUGUUUUCGGACCAAGAGGGCCUUAUACGAGUUUUGCUGGAACCGGGACGGCUCACAGAGCCACGAGUCCUGCAAGCAGCCCUACAAAGGUAUCACUAAGUCAUAGCGCUCAAGCUUCUCCUACAAAUACCCUUCGCCCUUGUCGCCCUCGAGCUCGUUCUGCAGAUGAAACAAAGGUAAAAACGACCCGAGAGUUUGUGGAAGACUGGGAAAUCCCAGCUGACGAAAUUUUGAUUGGACAUCGGAUUGGGUCUGGAUCUUUUGGAACAGUGUUUAAAGGAAUUUGGCAUGGUCCCGUGGCCGUGAAAACGUUGAAUGUUAAAGAUCCGACACCUGCUCAGUUGCAAGCAUUCAAAAAUGAGGUGGCCGUUUUGCGAAAGACGAGACAUGUCAACAUUUUGCUCUUUAUGGGCUGUGUUAGCAAACCACAGUUGGCAAUUGUAACACAGUGGUGUGAAGGAUCUUCGUUGUAUAAGCACAUUCAUGUUACAGAAACUAAAUUCCCCCUCUUGACUCUGAUUGAAAUUGCUAGACAGACUGCACAAGGGAUGGACUACUUGCACGCAAAGAAUAUCAUUCAUCGAGACAUGAAAAGCAACAAUAUUUUUCUUCACGAUGAUUUGACAGUGAAAAUUGGGGACUUUGGUUUAGCCACAGUGAAAACGAAAUGGUCUGGGUCCCAUCAACAGCAACAACCGACUGGUUCAAUUUUAUGGAUGGCCCCAGAAGUGAUAAGAAUGCAAGAUUCCAAUCCUUAUACAUUUCAGUCAGACGUGUACGCUUUCGGAAUUGUGUUAUUUGAACUACUUUCGGGACAGCUCCCAUACUCGAGUAUCAACAACAGAGAUCAGAUCCUAUUUAUGGUUGGACGAGGAUUUCUUCGGCCUGAUUUAACUCAGAUGCGACCGGACACUCCAAACGCCCUCAAAAGACUCUUAGAAGACUGCAUAAAAUUUAUUCGUGAUGAGAGACCUUUGUUUCGACAAAUUUUAACAUCUCUAGAAAACUUGUUAAACUCCUUGCCAAAAAUUCAUCGUUCCGAAUCAGAGCCAAUGCUAAACCGCACACAACUCCAGUCCGAAGAAUUUGGUUACAUUUGUUCCGUGAAUAGUCCGAAAACUCCCAUCAACACUCAGUUCGGCAAUUUCCCUUCAUUUUCAUCGGGUGCCAACAUCUGAUUUAGUUAUAUUCAUCUUUUGUGAUUGUUGUGAUGACCAGCGAUAGGGAUAUAACGAGAGAGUUGUUUCUUGAAUGGUUUAUAUCAUACCAAACCAACCCCUUGUUGCUAUGUGCAUCGUUAUUCCCGAUUUCGGUCAAACAUGGUACAUUGAUUUCAGUCAAACAUGACCAAAAGGGGUUGGUAUGAUGGAAGUCCGAAACAAUUCUCUCCUAAAUCGGCUAGUUUUAUUUAUUACGAAUAUUUAUCAUUAUUAUUAAUUUUAUUACCCAGCCUAAGAUAUUUAUUUUUAUUACCAACUUAUUUUUGACCUAGAGCACUUACUGCUGCAUCAGUUCUUAUUAUUAUUAACGUAUGAAAUAGAUGCCACUUGGUUAUUUUGUAGGUAUUAAUAUUAAACAUACACACACGUACGUACGAAACUAUUGAUGUUGAUUAUGAUGUGGUGAUACAACAAUGACAAACAAACGUCCAAUUAUUUUCAACCCCUAUUAUGUAUAUUGCUUACAAGUUGUGUGCCAAUUAUUAAGUGAAUUGAUCUGGUCAUCAUAUAUUUUGUUUUCCUUACGUUAUUAAGACACCCACACACUUGUUUAACCAUUAGUAUUAUAUUUUUAUGAUAGACGUACCUGCUCUGCCCAUAGUUACUAGACUUUCCUUUUUUAUCGGACUCGAAAAAAAUGAGAUUCCUCAAGGCUACGAUAUAAUAGCGAUCAAUAAAAAUGUUUUCUUUAAUUCAACCUCAA